UUACGGCCAUAACACGUUUAAACAACGGAUCACGCACGAUCACCGAAGAUAAGCCCCGUCGAGUCUGGUCAAUACCUAGAUGGCUGACCGCUUGGGUAUACCAGGUGCUGUAAG